rnacentral:misc_RNA from 1 species
UAAUAAAAGUGUUUAUGGCACUUUUCAAACAAAUCCAUAUCCACCUUGUGUGCAUUGUUUUUUUUUUAUAAUUGAACACCUUUCUUUAAUUGACAAUUGUAUCUGAAGAUCAGUAUUAUUAUGAAUUAACUUAAUUCAAAAUA